rnacentral:rRNA from 1 species
UGGGGAAUAUUGCACAAUGGGCGCAAGCCUGAUGCAGCCAUGCCGCGUGUAUGAAGAAGGCCUUCGGGUUGUAAAGUACUUUCAGCGGGGAGGAAGGUGUUGAGGUUAAUAACCUCAGCAAUUGACGUUACCCGCAGAAGAAGCACCGGCUAACUCCGUGCCAGCAGCCGCGGUAAUACGGAGGGUGCAAGCGUUAAUCGGAAUUACUGGGCGUAAAGCGCACGCAGGCGGUCUGUCAAGUCGGAUGUGAAAUCCCCGGGCUCAACCUGGGAACUGCAUUCGAAACUGGCAGGCUAGAGUCUUGUAGAGGGGGGUAGAAUUCCAGGUGUAGCGGUGAAAUGCGUAGAGAUCUGGAGGAAUACCGGUGGCGAAGGCGGCCCCCUGGACAAAGACUGACUCUCAGGUGCGAAAGCGUGGGGAGCAAACA